rnacentral:rRNA from 1 species
CCCUUAGAUGUUCUGGGCUGCACGCGCGCUACACUGAUACUUUCAGCGAGUCCACCACCUUGCCUGAGAGGGUGGGGUAACCUCUGGAAAGUGUAUCGUGAUGGGGAUCGAUUAUUGUAAUUAUUAAUCUUCAACGAGGAAUGCCUAGUAAGCGCAAGUCAUCAGCUUGCGUUGAUUACGUCCCUGCCCUUUGUACACACCGCCCGUCGCUCCUACCGAUUGAAUGGUCCGGUGAAGCGUUCGGACCGUGGCCUUUGGACGGUUCGCCGUCUGUUGGCUGCGGGAAGUUCGUUAAACCUUAUCAUUUAGAGGAAGGAGAAGUCGUAACA